ensembl:processed_transcript
GUGAGACCAGGACAAUGGAUUACAUUAAAGAAGGAAAAUGUGAAGACUGAAAAUGCUUCUCUGAUGAGAAAGCAGCCACCUAGAUCCCACGAGCUCAUGUUACCGUAAUAUUUACUAAUAGGACUCUGACAAUGCCUGGCGCAUAACAGUUCCUGGUAGACAGGUGACAAAUAAAAUAAAAUAAAAUAAAAUAAGAAUAAAAUAAAAACAGGGAUAAAUAAAGUGGAAAGGAGUGAUGAGCUCUUGGCUGCUUGUGUAUGUAACCAAAGGUACAAGAGUAACUGAAACAAAACAGGUGCAGAAAUCUCCGUGACAGUAGAUUAGUGUGGGGCACCUAGCUUAGAUCCCAACCAUUUAAAGUGCAGCUUUGAAAGUAACUAUCGGGAAGUCUCUUCUAACCUGGAAGAAAAGCGAUCGUUUCACCGAUUUAUCUCUUCAAGGGUCACUGACAGGUGUCACAAAGUCUGGUUGGUGGCUUACAGGCAUGACACAACAGGAACAUUCGAAGCAGGAGUGGACGAGAAAACGGCAGAUCUGUCCGCUGUGAUGACGGGAUUACCUAACUCGGUGACCAGACACCUUGGUGUCCCUCCCUUUACGCGUCUCCAGCUCGCUGUCUACCAGCCUCUCCCAAGUCUACCAUUGUUUUUACAUGGAGGAUGAACUGGAAGUUGAUUUUUUUUUAAUUAGGCCAAGAAAAAUAACAGAGAAUCUUUGGAAGGAGACAGAAACCGAAUUAAACAAGGCUCCAUUCUGAAGAUGUUCUCAGCUCUCAGAUCCCACAAUCACAAAGCGUCCAAAGAGAAAAGACAACUGGUCGAGGAUGGACUUCAUUCUCCCAGUACUUAUAACAAAGAGCUCAGACUCGCCUCUUACUGGUGCUUCGUCGUAUUAGAGCAAGUGACUCUGUAGACGUGCUCUGUUCACCUGCUUUCCCUGCUUGCUUCAGCUCACUCCCCAUCACCUAUGCACAUCCACUUUCCACAGCAGGAUGCAGUCAAGGACCACAUAAAGGAAGAUUUCUACUUGACUUUGCCAGAAGUGGGGCGGUUCUAAAGUUCAACACAAAUGCUGGGCUGGAAGCCGUCCUGAUAACAUAGGUGUUUCUCUCAUAUUCAAGUCUAGCAAUAGAAGAAAGAAUUGCAGCUCAAAGUGUCUCUGAGGGCAGAAAAAAAUCAAUAUAUGAAAUAAAAUUCAUGAACAUUUU